UACGUAGGGGGCAAGCGUUGUCCGGAUUUAUUGGGCGUAAAGAGCGUGUAGGCGGCCAGGUAGGUCUGCUGUGAAAACUCGAGGCUUAACCUCGAGCUGUCGGCGGAAACCAUCUGGCUAGAGUCCGGAAGAGGAGAAUGGAAUUCCUGGUGUAGCGGUGAAAUGCGCAGAUAUCAGGAAGAACACCCGUGGCGAAAGCGGCUCUCUGGAACGGUACUGACGCUGAGACGCGAAAGCGUGGGGAGCGAACAGG
rnacentral:rRNA from 1 species